rnacentral:rRNA from 1 species
UAGGGAAUCUUCGGCAAUGGACGAAAGUCUGACCGAGCAACGCCGCGUGAGUGAAGAAGGUUUUCGGAUCGUAAAACUCUGUUGUUAGAGAAGAACAAGGACGUUAGUAACUGAACGUCCCCUGACGGUAUCUAACCAGAAAGCCACGGCUAACUACGUGCCAGCAGCCGCGGUAAUACGUAGGUGGCAAGCGUUGUCCGGAUUUAUUGGGCGUAAAGCGAGCGCAGGCGGUUUCUUAAGUCUGAUGUGAAAGCCCCCGGCUCAACCGGGGAGGGUCAUUGGAAACUGGGAGACUUGAGUGCAGAAGAGGAGAGUGGAAUUCCAUGUGUAGCGGUGAAAUGCGUAGAUAUAUGGAGGAACACCAGUGGAGAAGGCGGCUCUCUGGUCUGUAACUGACGCUGAGGCGCGAAAGCGUGGGGAGCAAACAGG